rnacentral:rRNA from 1 species
AGGGAAUCUUGCCACAAUGGACGCAAGUCUGAUGGAGCAACGCCGCGUGAGUGAAGAAGGUUUUCGGACCGUAAAGCUCUGUUGUUGGUGAAGAAGGAUAGAGGUAGGUAACUGGCCUUUAUUUGACGGUAAUCAACCAGAAAGUCACGGCUAACUACGUGCCAGCAGCCGCGGUAAUACGUAGGUGGCAAGCGUUGUCCGGAUUUAUUGGGCGUAAAGCGAGCGCAGGCGGAAGAAUAAGUCUGAUGUGAAAGCCCUCGGCUUAACCGAGGAAUUGCAUCGGAAACUGUUUUUC